rnacentral:rRNA from 1 species
UACGUAGGGUGCAAGCGUUAAUCGGAAUUACUGGGCGUAAAGCGUGCGCAGGCGGUUUCGUAAGUCUGUCGUGAAAUCCCCGGGCUUAACCUGGGAAUGGCGAUGGAGACUGCGAGGCUAGAGUUUGGCAGAGGGGGGUAGAAUUCCACGUGUAGCAGUGAAAUGCGUAGAGAUGUGGAGGAACACCGAUGGCGAAGGCGGCGACCUGGGCCAAUACUGACGCUGAGGUGCGAAAGCGUGGGGAGCAAACGGG